rnacentral:lncRNA from 1 species
AAAGUUUUCUGAGUUUUGUGUAUAUGCCCUGAUUUUUAUCAAAGUUAAAUUCUACACUGGGUCCUUAAACACAAAGCUAAACAUUGUCCUGUGAUAGAAUCAGGUAAGUCCAUUCCAGAUAUGUUCCAAGGGAAAAGAAAGCAGGUCAACAAGGUUCAUGACAUUUGUGUCAUUGUCCACUACAGCAUUCAUUACUCUCAUAACCAGAAGGUAAACAGACAACGGAGUCCAAGCCUGUCAGCCAGCGAGUGGAUGAACAAGAUGAGGCAGAGCCAGGGCUGGAGAGACAGACCUGCGGCUAAGAGCACUGGCUGCUCUUCCGGAGCAUCCAGGGUUGGCUCCCAGAACCUUCAUGGCUGCUCAACUAUGGCUUCAAGGGGACAGAGGUGAGGUUGAGCCAUGGCUGUGAAGAUGAAGAGAGAAGACUAUGUAAGACUCUCAGCUCCUUCUCAGGCACCAGGUCUGCCUCACGCCACCAUGUCCCACCAUGAUGAUAAUGGAUUGAAUCUCUCAACUGUGAGCCACCCCAAUUAAAUGCUUGCCUUUAUAAGAGUUGCCGUGGUCAUGGUGUCUCUUCACAGCAAUUGAAACCCUAAGACAAAGUCUGAGACUCAGAAUUUCUAAAAUGUAGAAUGUAUUCCUUUGAACAGAAGAUCUGCCUUUGAAAUGGCCAGCCACAGGUUUUGGGGGUUGGUACAGAAAUGAUAAGUGGGCUGGUGAGAU